AAAAAUAGCAACAAACCCAACUCUUUUCUCCAGUCUCAGCGGCGCAGGCUAAAACAAGAAAAAGUGGCCAACGACUAUGGCGGCUGAGAUGAGCAAAAAGCGAAAUGUCCGACCACCGAUCAAACACGCACUAAUUUUGUUGCUGAUGGAGUCUUUCCUAGUUGUUGACGAGAGAGGCUAGCGGCGGAUGGCUACUCAGUUGAGGUUACGCCUGUGCCGACCUAGAUCAUCAUUAGGGCCACUCGGACUCAGAACAGUUUGACCCUUUGUUAAAUGUUGGGCUUUUAAGUUUUAAAGGUGAGAAGGGAAAGAGAUUAAAGGAACUUACACCUGUUGUUCAGAAGCCUUUCAAUUUUCCGGAGAAAAGUGUUGGCUUUAUGCAGAGAAAGUUAGUAACCGAGGGCUUUGUGCAAUUGCUCAGGCAGAGUCUUUGUGUUACAAGCUUCUAGGAGGGCUUGCUGUCUGCAGGUUCUUGAGAUUAAGGUGAAGUUCAUGCUUGAUUGGGAUCCAAAGGGUAAGCAAGGCCGCACGACACCCCUACCUGAUAUGUUCACCAUUCACCAACUGUAGGAGAAAGGGUACAUCAGGCCCUCAGUCUUGGCAACGGAAAUACCAAUAGAAGUGCCUUAAGUGCCAGUUGUGGUCGCCACCUAGAUUUCUUUAUUCGCAAUCUUUAGUUUUCAGUGUUGUAGAGUGUCAGAGACAGCAAUAUGUACUGUUAGGAUACUGGAUUUUUUCUUGUCAUUGAAGCAUUAUUUGAUUUUUAUUUUUGUAAAUGAGUCGCUAA